GAUGAACGCUGACAGAAUGCUUAACACAUGCAAGUCAACUUGAAUUUGGGUUUUUAACUUAGAUUUGGGUGGCGGACGGGUGAGUAACGCGUAAAGAACUUGCCUCACAGCUAGGGACAACAUUUAGAAAUGAAUGCUAAUACCUGAUAUUAUGAUUUUAAGGCAUCUUAGAAUUAUGAAAGCUAUAAGCACUGUGAGAGAGCUUUGCGUCCCAUUAGCUAGUUGGAGAGGUAACGGCUCACCAAGGCGAUGAUGGGUAGCCGGCCUGAGAGGGUGAUCGGCCACAAGGGGACUGAGACACGGCCCUUACUCCUACGGGAGGCGGCAGUGGGGAAUAUUGGACAAUGGACCAAGAGUCUGAUCCAGCAAUUCUGUGUGCACGAUGAAGUUUUUCGGAAUGUAAAGCGCUUUCAGUUGGGAAGAAAGAAAUGACGGUACCAACAGAAGAAGUGACGGCUAAAUACGUGCCAGCAGCCGCGGUAAUACGUAUGUCACGAGCGUUAUCCGGAUUUAUUGGGCGUAAAGCGCGUCUAGGUGGUUAUGUAAGUCUGAUGUGAAAAUGCAGGGCUCAACUCUGUAUUGCGUUGGAAACUGUAUAACUAGAGUACUGGAGAGGUAAGCGGAACUACAAGUGUAGAGGUGAAAUUCGUAGAUAUUUGUAGGAAUGCCGAUGGGGAAGCCAGCUUACUGGACAGAUACUGACGCUGAAGCGCGAAAGCGUGGGUAGCAAACAGG
rnacentral:rRNA from 1 species